AGCGAACGCUGGCGGCAGGCUUAACACAUGCAAGUCGAACGGGCAUCUUCGGAUGUCAGUGGCAGACGGGUGAGUAACACGUGGGAACGUACCCUUCGGUUCGGAAUAACUCAGGGAAACUUGAGCUAAUACCGGAUACGCCCUUUUGGGGAAAGGUUUACUGCCGAAGGAUCGGCCCGCGUCUGAUUAGCUUGUUGGGUGGGUAAAGGCCUACCAAGGCGACGAUCAGUAGCUGGUCUGAGAGGAUGAUCAGCCACACUGGGACUGAGACACGGCCCAGACUCCUCCGGGAGGCAGCAGUAUGGAAUAUUGGACAAUCGGCGCAAGCCUGAUCCAGCCGUGCCGCGUGAGUGACGAAGGCGUUAGGGUUGUAAAGCUCUUUUGUCCUGUACGAUAAUGACGGUACCGGAUGAAUAAGCCCCGGCUAGCUACGUG
rnacentral:rRNA from 1 species